GUGCUCACUUCAGUAGAACAUAUACUAAAAUUGGAACGAUACAGAGAAGAUUAGCAUGGCACCUGAAAAAUGAUGACAUGCAAAUUUGUGAAGCAUUCCCUAUUUUU